rnacentral:sRNA from 1 species
UCUUGAAAUGGGGAUUGGUCGGCCAG